rnacentral:rRNA from 1 species
CCCAAACCCACUCAACAUUUGGUCUAGGUUUGGCCGUCUCUCGCUGACGUCAGACGCCGGCGAGAGGGCGCCUGAGCGGCCGGGGCCGGCGUGGGAGCGGAUAUAGAUGCGCUGCGCUGGGGGAGUCAGAGCGAGCGUCGCGGAGGGUUUGGAAGCGGGUGGGUGCGCGGAGUGCCAGCGCGGCGCGGCCUAGCCCUAGUUCAGUGCGAAUCGUGGUGCGCCGGCGAGAGCGAAAGCGGCAGCGGCCCUUACCCCUCGUGCCGCCCGCUCCAGUGGGCGCGGCUGAAGGGGCUCCCGAAGCAGAAGCCGCAGCGGUGGAGGCGGAUGGUCUAACUCCCCCGUUCUUUACUUCCACCGUUUCCGCUAUCGUAUACCCUACAUAAAUGUCUAUUGUUUCUUGCACAGGAUCUGCCUAGGAGACCUCUUCAACGUCAACUAGUAAUGGUAGCUAUGUUCCUUCUGUAACUCGAGUACCGGUUCAACCCAAAACCACGAAUAUCUAAAAGGUAUAGAACCAGUGCCUAUAAAGGACUACCGAAUCCCUGUCUUUAGUUACUCGUUCCUCAACGAAAGAUAUUGUUGGAAUAUCUAAAGUACUAACUCUUUCCAUAAGUCGGAAUACGUUGAGACAUAGUGACCCUAGAAGGCGUAUUAGAAGUCUUCUGAUACCCCCCAACCGAAAGACUGUUCUAACAUCUCAUGAAGCGUAAUAUACGUCUUCGAACGAAACGUUUAAAACCUCUAUCUCAAUUCGUAACCUAUUGUUAGUUACUUGGAUAAGUUUGUACGUAAUUACGAAUACCCCAACCUUAUAAACGAGGACCUAAUACAUUUCCACAUCGACGACUUGGAAAGAACCGACCGGUAGUGGUCUAGAAUCGAGUACGACGACGACAACUACAGAUGUCUUCUUUUAAGUUCCGAUUUGUUCCACCAGUUCAUCCUAAACAAUAACUAACACUUACCCGCCUCGGUUUCAGCCUGUUUUACCUUCUGGUCCGACGACGUCGUGCCGCGUAACUGAAAGUUGAACCUACCAAGGACCUGGGUUAUAUGAAACCACUAAUGGGUCUUUCGUACGCGGUCUCUCACCCGCUUAUAGAAGGUUUUAAGAGACUCUUUCUGGCACUUAACUACUCCUUGUUUUAACUAAAAUAACCUAAUUUAGUGAUAUGUAGUUCUUAGUAACCGUUAGUCGGCUUGGGUGUUGGUGUUCUCUAGGUAAAAAUAGUCCAAGUUGUUUAUCUCUCUUGUCUGUUUACCUCAUCGCCACUUCGUUAACCACUUUCUCGACGCAGACUCACCGAAAAUUAUCAAGGGACCCCAUAAGCCUUUUGUUAGUUAAUAUAUCAUUUCUUUAUACUUUUAGGUUAUUAUAUACAUUGUCUCUUACCGUACCUACUGCUUCUGCUAGGUAGUCGUGGUCAACUAGUCAAGAAUUUACUGUGUUUCUCCCAAUUAAAGAAGUUUCCUAUACAACCACGUCAGCGUGUUCGUUAUUUCCUACCGCGGCUGCAAGCACCUAUGAAACGUACCAGUAAGGACCUAUUGAAACUCACCCGCUACCCUAAGUGGUUCUCCAAACCCUAACAGAUACAACUAAUGUUCUUGCCCGAGUGGGCUGUGGGAUUUCGUAGUCGGUACACCAAGAGUGCGAAGAACUUGCCGCUCUGGCGACUGUCGUUUGGACUGUGUUUGAUUCGGGGAGUAAGUGGUUCCCUACCGUGACUACAAGCGCCCAUCAAGCCUACCGGUAAGGACCCGUUGAAACUCACCCGAUGUAUGUCAUAUGUGGUGCUCUCCAAACCAUGUUCCUACUCGUAACCCCUGUAAGGCUUCGUGGUCGGGUCAUGCACCGAGAGUGUGGGCAGCUUCUGGUUGUGCCGCGCUCGACUCGGUAGAGUGUCGUUCAUUUACUUUGUAAUAUGCUCAACAACAACAACGACGACAACAACAUAGCAUGGUGCUGACGGUAGAUGAGUUUUAUUAUUAGCAUCGGGUAGAGUCUAUGUGAAGAUAUGCCCGGUGCUAAUCAGGUAACUAACAAGUUUACCUACAAAUUCCCCGGUCUCAAGGGACGAUUAUUUAAUAUGCUCAAGUACAGUCGGUUGGGACAAUCUGUUGCGACGGAUACAUACAAACGAUGAGACGACGACGACAUAAUCAGGACAUUACAGACCGGAAGUAUCGGGGAGGAUCCUUCGUUAACGAUCGGUGGUCUUUAAACAAAGACAAGACGACCUCAAGAAGUAAUCUCCUUGAACGAAGACUGUCCAAUCUGGGUGGCUCUUGGUGAAACUUGAAACCUACUAACCACUUCUCGUUUCACUGUACAGUGUAUGUCAUUUUAUUUCUCCACCAAUUUC